GGGGGCCUACGGGACGCAGCAGUGGGGAAUAUUGCACAAUGGGCGCAAGCCUGAUGCAGCGACGCCGCGUGCGGGAUGGAGGCCUUCGGGUUGUAAACCGCUUUUGUUCAAGGGCAAGGCACGGUCUUUGGCCGUGUUGAGUGGAUUGUUCGAAUAAGCACCGGCUAACUACGUGCCAGCAGCCGCGGUAAUACGUAGGGUGCAAGCGUUAUCCGGCUUUAUUGGGCGUAAAGGGCUCGUAGGCGGUUCGUCGCGUCCGGCGUGAAAGUCCAUCGCUUAACGGUGGCUCCGCGCCGGGUACGGGG
rnacentral:rRNA from 1 species